rnacentral:rRNA from 1 species
GACAGAGGUGCCAAGCGUUAGGCGGAAUCACUGGGCUUUAAAGCGUGUGUAGGCGGGCGGGCAAGUACCUUUGUGAAAUCCCACGGCUCAACCGUGGAACGGCUGGGUAUACUGCCUGUCUUGAGCCAGCUAGGGGCGACCGGAACAGACGGUGGAGCGGUGAAAUGCGUAGAUAUCGUCUGGAACGCCAAAGGUGAAAACAGGUCGCUGGGCUGAGCUGACGCUGAGACACGAAAGCCAGGGGAGCGAACGGG